rnacentral:rRNA from 1 species
AUUGAACGCUGGCGGCAUGCCUAACACAUGCAAGUCGAACGGUAACGCGGAGAGCUUGCUCUCUGGCGACGAGUGGCGGACGGGUGAGUAACGCGUAGGAAUCUGCCCAGUAGUGGGGGACAACUCGGGGAAACUCGAGCUAAUACCGCAUACGCCCUACGGGGGAAAGCGGGGGAUCUUCGGACCUCGCGCUAUUGGAUGAGCCUAAGUCGGAUUAGCUUGUUGGUGAGGUAAUGGCUCACCAAGGCGACGAUCCGUAGCUGGUCUGAGAGGACGAUCAGCCACACUGGGACUGAGACACGGCCCAGACUCCUACGGGAGGCAGCAGUGGGGAAUAUUGGACAAUGGGCGCAAGCCUGAUCCAGCAAUGCCGCGUGUGUGAAGAAGGCCUGCGGGUUGUAAAGCACUUUCAGUAGAGAAGAAAAGCCUAGGGUUAAUACCCCUGAGUCUUGACGUAACCUACAGAAGAAGCACCGGCUAACUCCGUG